rnacentral:misc_RNA from 1 species
UUUUCUCCUCUGCGUACAGCUCUCUGCGGCCUCCUCAUUCCUUUCUCCAGGUUUGACGUUGCUUGAUGCCAACCUACGUGGCGCUCUUGUGUGUCGGGAUUUGAUGCGACCGUACCCCUCGGUGCGGCGCAUGACUCAACAGUCGAAGCGACUGCGCAUCGCCGGCACCCUUGUGCUUAGCGCGCUUGUUAUCUUCGGUUUCCUCGUUUACUAUCAAAGCCCUUUGCUCUCCCCAUGUGACUCGGCGUACGCGAAUGUAUACGACGUCGUCAUCGACGCCGGCAGCACUGGCUCACGUGUGCAUGUGUUCCAAUACGAGCGCGGCCGCACCAGUCUCGUACUUCUGAGAGAGCGCUUCAAACGAGUAGAGCCGGGUCUAUCCUCUUUUGCCACCGACCCAGACGGCGCCAAGGAGUCGCUUGCGGGGCUGCUGCGCUUCGCGGAUAAGGUGGUCCCGCAAAGCUACCAGAAGUGCACCUUCGUCACCCUCAAGGCUACCGCCGGCCUUCGGCUCCUACCUGAGUCCGUCCAGCAGGUGCUGCUGGACGCUGCCCAGCACACACUCAACGCAUCUCCAUUUCAGUCUCGUGGUGCCUCCAUCAUCUCUGGCGCUCAAGAGGGCGUCUACGGGUGGCUGACGGUGAACUACCUGCUGAACAGGCUCGACACGGACGUUGCCACCGUCGCGACCAUCGACAUGGGAGGUGCCUCGACACAGGUCGUCUUCGAGACGACGCCCACGUCUGGAGAAUGGCUGCCCUUCAACUAUGCCCACCAGCUGCGCACACCAAAGCGCACGAUCACCAUGUAUCAGCACAGCUAUCUCGGCCUUGGGAUGAACGAGGCGAAGAAGAAGCUUAUGAUGUCAUUCGCCGAAGCGAACGGGACGUCGUCUUUCCCGUGCUUCCCGAGAGGGUAUGCGAAGCGCCUGAACGAUGUGGAACUUCGAAACAGUGACGCCACGGACUUUGACGCGUGUGCAGGACUAUUUCACGAACAUGUCAUAACAAAGACGACCUGCAAGUUUGAUGCCUGUGGCGCCCGCGGCGUGCCGCAGCCGCUGUUUCCGUCAAGGCGGCAUCUCAUCUACGCCUUCUCCUACUUUUACGACCGACUCUACCACUUCAGCAAGGAGGGGAGCCCGGUCUACGUCUCGUCGUACAAGGAGGUCGGGCAAGAGGUGUGCCACCGGGAAUCUGCGAGGCGGACCACCGCCCCUGAGGAAACGGCCUGCAUGGAGCUGGCGUACAUGUACAGCUUCUUGACAUACGGCCUAGGGCUUAGUGACGCCACGGCUCUCACGGUGCCCAACCGCAUCGAGGGUAUGGCGGUUUCCUGGUCUCUUGGCUCCUCUCUCUCCUUCCUGCUCAAGAUGGAAUGAACGAAACGGGCCGCCCUCUCGCUCCGCCACAAUUCCCUGCUUGCACCCUCACAACCAUAAGUGUUGACGGACAUCUUGCCCUUUACACGACCCCCAAUAACAUUAUAGCGGGUGCUCUGUCACUUUCGACGAGCUGACGGUUAUAUGUGAUCUCUGCAUACAACCGAAGCGAUAACACUCAGAGUCAACG